ACUCCUACGGGGAGGCAGCAGUGGGGAAUAUUGCACAAUGGGCGCAAGCCUGAUGCAGCCAUGCCGCGUGUAUGAAGAAGGCCUUCGGGUUGUAAAGUACUUUCAGCAGUGAGGAAGGUGGGGUAUGUUAAAUAGCAUACUCAUUUGACGUUAGCNGCAGAAAGAAAGCACCGGGNUAACUCCGUGCCAGCAGCCGCGGUAAUACGGAGGGUGCGAGCGUUAAAUCGGAAAUUACUGGGCGUAAAAGCGCAUGCAGGUGGUUUUGUUAAAGUCAGAUGUGAAAAGCCCGGGGGCUCAAACCUCGGGAAAAUUGCAUUUGAAAACUGGCAAAACUAGAGNACUGUAGAGGGGGGGUAGAAAUUUUCAGGUGUAGCGGUGAAAAUGCGU
rnacentral:rRNA from 1 species